UGAGCAAUCUGCCCUUCACAUCGGAAUAACCAUUGGAAACGAUGGCUAAUACCGAAUAUGACUUCGGAUCGCAUGAUCUGAAGUGGAAAGCUCCGGCGGUGAAGGAUGAGCUCGCGGCCUAUCAGCUUGUUGGUGAGGUAAUAGCUCACCAAGGCGAUGACGGGUAGCCGGCCUGAGAGGGUGACCCGGCCACACGUGGGACUGAGACACGGCAGA
rnacentral:rRNA from 1 species